rnacentral:rRNA from 1 species
UACGUAGGGGGCCAGCGUUGUCCGGAAUCAUUGGGCGUAAAGCGCGCGUAGGCGGUCAGGUAAGUCCGGUGUGAAAGUCAAAGGCUCAACCUUUGAAUGCCGCUGGAAACUGCCUGACUUGAGUCCGGGAGGGGCGAGUGGAAUUCCUGGUGUAGCGGUGAAAUGCGCAGAUAUCGGGAAGAACACCCGUGGCGAAGGCGGCUCUCUGGGACGGUACCGACGCUGAGACGCGAAGCGUGGGGAGCGAACAGG